rnacentral:rRNA from 1 species
GACGAACGCUGGCGGCGUGCUUAACACAUGCAAGUCGAACGGAAAGGCCCUGCUUGCAGGGUGCUCGAGUGGCGAACGGGUGAGUAACACGUGGGUGAUCUGCCCCUUACUUUGGGAUAAGCCUGGGAAACUGGGUCUAAUACUGGAUAGGACCAUGCUGUAGGUGGUGUGGUGGAAAGAUUAGUUUCGGUAAGGGAUGAGCUCGCGGCCUAUCAGCUUGUUGGUGGGGUAAUGGCCUACCAAGGCGUCGACGGGUAGCCGGCCUGAGAGGGUGGACGGCCACAUUGGGACUGAGAUACGGCCCAGACUCCUACGGGAGGCAGCAGUGGGGAAUAUUGCACAAUGGGCGCAAGCCUGAUGCAGCGACGCCGCGUGGGGGAUGAAGGCCUUCGGGUUGUAAACUCCUUUCAGCCAUGACGAAGCCCUUGAGGUGACGGUAGUGGUAGAAGAAGCACCGGCUAACUACGUG